GGGCGAAUGGCUCAGUGGUAGAGCAUCCGCUUUGCAUCUGAUACACGUCAAAUGUAAAUUGCGGAAGGUCCAGGUUUCGAUCACCUGUUCGUCCA